rnacentral:rRNA from 1 species
GACGAACGCUGGCGGCGUGCUUAACACAUACAAGUCGAACGGUAAGGCCCUUCGGGGUACACGAGUGGCGAACGGGUGAGUAACACGUGGGUGAUCUACCCUGCACUUCGGGAUAAGCCUGGGAAACUGGGUCUAAUACCGGAUAGGACCACUGCCUGCAUGGGUGGUGGUGGAAAGCUUUUGCGGUGUGGGAUGGGCCCGCGGCCUAUCAGCUUGUUGGUGGGGUGAUGGCCUACCAAGGCGACGACGGGUAGCCGGCCUGAGAGGGUGACCGGCCACACUGGGACUGAGAUACGGCCCAGACUCCUACGGGAGGCAGCAGUGGGGAAUAUUGCACAAUGGGCGCAAGCCUGAUGCAGCGACGCCGCGUGAGGGAUGACGGCCUUCGGGUUGUAAACCUCUUUCAGCACCGACGAAGCGCAAGUGACGGUAGGUGCAGAAGAAGGACCGGCCAACUACGUGCCAGCCGCCGCGGUAA